ACGGUUGUGACGAAAAUGGGUAGACGUGAUAUGCUUAGGACAUAUUGAUUCAUUCAUAAGGGUUCAAGUCCCUUCUUCCGUA
rnacentral:tRNA from 1 species